AUUUUAGAUAUACUGAAUCAAUACUAAAGGUCCAACUAUUCAACAAAAAAUAUUUGAACUGAUUACUAAGAUCCUAAUAAUAAUUAAAUUUGAAAUCCGUUAACCGUUGACGGACUCUGUGUGGUCUUCUUAGCCCAGAUUUGUGAGUAUUAAAAAGUUCAUAGUUUUUCCAUACCUUUUGAUAAGUUUUAAAUGUAGCUGUUUAAAUUCAGUGGACUACGGGGCUUCGUAAUGUCACCUAUAUAAAGAUUAGUCAUUAUUGCCAUUGUAUUCUAUCAAUAGACUGCUAUGUGUGAAGCGACACGCUUCAUGUUAAGGUGAUAAGAUCAUUGAAAGAUGCCUCUCGGAUUUUUAUUAAUAACAGGACUGCUUGCGUUCGGCGCUUAUUGGACAACGAAGUACCUGUUGAACAUGCCAGAUGCUGUCCAACCUCUCCAUCAUUCUGCAGAAAUUGUAACUACGACAACGCAAUCUCCAUUGUAAAAUACCACUACUAUGUACGUAAUAGGGUUUAGAAUUAAGGUUUUUGAUAAAAAUGACUACACCUAAAAUGGUGUUAACUACAAUGUAGUCCAAAUAUGUUAUAUCGACGGUCAUCAGAUGGGCUGAUUUCAGAUCUGUCUCUGCCACUAUACUGGUUGAUAUCGACAUACGUCUCACUGUCUCACUGGGAUCAGUUGCAAUGGCAUUAUGACGUUUAUGGUGGUCUUUCUCCGAUCAUCCAACAUUAAAUUGAAUAUGUAUGGCGUAUCAUACAUAUUCAAUUUAAUGUUUAUGAUGAUGGAACUCAAAUAUAAUAUCUAAUCCCAAUGUUCCUGUUGGACCUAAUGUUAGUAAAACUCCGCCAUCUUCGCCCCCAAUUACCUCUUAAACAGUAGUAUUCAUGUUAAUCAGGACUAUCUUCAACUAAGCCAAAAACAUCAGGGAUUGUUAUACUGUAAGAAUUUUUGGCUAAAGAUUUUUAAUGUACAUUUAUCUGUAAAGAAAGUAUUUUAAAUAGGUGUAAUGUUUUACAUCAAACAUUAACAAUUUUGCUACCAAUCAAGACAUGGCAAUUUGUAUAAAUGGCUUGAUUGGAGAGGUCUACAUCUAGGAAAUUGGAAUAAAUAUAUUUGCAAUACA